GGCCUGCCUGUAAUGAGUGUACAGAUUGUAUAUCAGUGUACAUUUGCUGUCCCCUCAAAAUAACUCAACACAGCCAUCAAUGUCUAAACCGCAGGCAACAAAAGUGAGUACACCCCUAAGUGAAAAUGUCCAAAUUGG